rnacentral:rRNA from 1 species
AUUGAACGCUGGCGGCAUGCUUUACACAUGCAAGUCGAACGGUAACAGGCCGCAAGGUGCUGACGAGUGGCGAACGGGUGAGUAAUGCAUCGGAACGUGCCCAGUCGUGGGGGAUAACGCAGCGAAAGCUGUGCUAAUACCGCAUACGAUCUAUGGAUGAAAGCGGGGGACCGUAAGGCCCUGCGCGACUGGAGCCGACGAUGUCAGAUUAGGUAGUGGGUGGGGUAAAGGCCCACCAAGCCAACGAUCUGUAGCUGGUCUGAGAGGACGACCAGCAACACUGGGACUGAGACACGGCCCAGACUCCUACGGGAGGCAGCAGUGGGGAAUUUUGGACAAUGGGCGCAAGCCUGAUCCAGCAAUGCCGCGUGCAGGAAGAAGGCCUUCGGGUUGUAAACUGCUUUUGUACGGAACGAAACGGUCUGGGUUAAUACCUCGGGCUAAUGACGGUACCGUAAGAAUAAGCACCGGCUAACUACGUGCCAGCAGCCGCAGUAACAC